CAGUCUAUAACGUUUGAUAUACAUAAAUAAACAUUCAGUUGACAAUGAAGCUUGAAUAUUUUCUAUGGUCCUUAACAGUUAUAUUGGUAAGCAUAGCUGUCUUUUUUCUAUAGAUAAUUGUGAAUGGGGAAUAUAGGGUACUACCAAAACUGUUAUGUUUCAUUUAGCUACUAAAAUUACUGUUGAACUCUCUUUUUUUUACAGUUUAAAUUAUGUAUUGUCUUUAUAGACUUAACAGUGGUUAAUUUGAUACAUGCCUUUUUGUAAUUACAUAUUUAAUUGUUUUAUAGUGAUUAAGAUUAUAACACAAUAUUAACUGAUUUACCCCUAUUUUUUUAUUUUUCCCUUUUAUAGUCUGUUUGUUUGUUUACACAUCGUUGUCAACAUAGUUGAAUUUGAUGUGACUGUAAUAUAAGUGAGACAUUAGGUCUAUCUAGCUAUAAAACCAGGUGCAAUCUACCAUUUUCUACAUAAGAAAAUUGCUGUACCAAGUCAGCAAUAUGACAAUUUUUAUCCAUUCGUUUGAUGUGUCUGAGAUUUUGAUCUUGCCUUUCGAUUAGGGACUUUCUGUUUUGUUUUUUCCUUGGAGUUCAAAAUUUUUGCGAUUUUAGUUUCAUAUGUGAAAAAUGGCUGUCAAUUUUAAAGGGGAAGCUUUUUGCAUAAAAUAUGUAUGAAAAGUUAAUUCUAAAUUACAAUUACGCUCACGCCCGGAAAAAAUUAAAUCUAUCAUUCAAAAAGAGACAAAGGAUACGAAAGAGAUAUUCAAAGAAAAAACUGACAACGCCAGGGCAAAAACAGAGAAAAAAGAUAAAAAAAACUGCUCACAAAUCACAACACAGAAAACUAACGGCUUAGCAACACAAACUCAAACAAAAACUGGAGAUGACCUCAGUUUCUACGAUUUCGGUUCUUAGACAAGAAAAGAAUUGGCAAUAAGUCACAUUUGAGAAUGGAAAGAAGGGAUUCAAGUUUACGAUAAUGCAACAUUUUUGAAAAAAAUAUUUCAUAAAGGUCAACCAACAAUCAUAUGUUGUUUCGAUGGGUCUUUGCUGAUUUUUAUCAUAAAUUGUAACUUAUAGCAAUACAAAAACAGGUCCGCAAUAAGUGGUGCACAGUUAGUCCUCAUUGAAAUUCCGAUAACCUGACGAUAUACACGGAAUCUCCAAAGCGAACAAAAAUGUUAUCUAGUAAAAAUUCAAGGGCAGAUAUAGCAUCAAAGCAUGUCCAAUUGACAUAGUUUUUUGUUUAUUGCUACUAAAAAAUGACCCAUGUCGCUUAAGAGAUGACUUCAACAUUACCACUUGAAAACCUUUUAUUUAGUGAUUCCUUUUAAGCAUCAACAUUCUAUCAUGGAAAUCAUGAUAGCAAAAGCAGAGCAAUUAAUGUAAGGGCUAACCGAUCAAUUUGAUUUUAACAUCAUCUGAGACCGUUAAGUCUUUUAAAGGAGUUUAAGUUUUUACCGACAUUUUCUUGCUGAUAGUUCGAAAUUAUUACACGGUGUGAUUUUGUACUGGUAAAUAACAACCACUGAACAGUCGAAACACAGACUGAACAUGUCAUAAAUAACUACAAACAAAUUGUCUGAUUUUUCCACAAUGGACAGGACUGAAAAUUGACUGAAAGACUGAUCAUAACGGUUUAUUUUUUUAUUUGGUCUUUUAAGAGUUGUUUAGUUCAGUUCAGUAAUGAAACGAAAGCUCUAAAAAAGAGUACCAACUUAGAGAUAUGUAUAACACAUAUGGAGGCGCUGCUCAAAUGUUGAUACAUAACUGUGAAUAGUUCAGAAUUAUGAAGUCACUUGACUGUAAACUAAUUAACAGGAGGCCAUCAUCUAUAUAACGGAACAUGAAAUCGCUUCUUUUUAUUCUUCCAAAGAAGCUCUAGCAAUAAGUCUACCUGAUAUAGAUAAAGGAACAAGUCUGCAAGAGGAGUCCAUUAGGCUAAUCUGCGGAGACGCUAGCUCAUUUGUGUAGAGAUUCAAGGGAUGCCACGCAAUAUUUAAUAGAUCCUUGAUGGUCGACGAAGUAUAAGUUUCAUUGACCGAUUUAGUUUUUUAAUUGCAUUUUAUGUCAACGACCUGCAGCCAUAACCCAUUUAGAAAGAGUGUUCUUUUUGCUUUUAGUCCGUCGUCUGUAGCUAAUAAAUGAAUCAAAUAAAUGUCAUAAAUAGUGUAUACCAAUUAUUCGGUAAAAUAAAAACACUUCCUAUUUAAAAUACCCGUGGAACCUAAUUUUUAAGAUACAAAUUAUCACAUGUAAAAAUAACUCAUCGAUGAUCCUAGGCGUAUACAUGUAGUUGUUUACGCCUGACGCUCUUUUUUAUCAGAGAUGUCCUUAUAAAAAAAUGUCAUAUAAAGAACGAAGUUGAAGAAAAUUGAACACCAACAAAAGGUGUAUUCUCAUACAAAAUAUCAAAUGAAAUAAAUAAGAAGAUGUGGUAUGAGUGCCCAGGAGACAGCUCUCCAUCCAAGUCUCAAUGUAUGAAAAGUAAACAGUUAUAUGUCAAAGUAAGGCCUUCAAUACGGAGCCCAGCUCACAUCGAAUAGCAAGCUAUAAAGGGCCUCAAAAUGAUUACUUUAAAACUAUUCUAAUUGGAAAAUCAACGGUAUAAUCUAUAUAAAAAACGAGAAACGAGAAACAUCUUUGAACCACACCAACAAAUAACAAACACUGAACAACAGGCUACUGAUGUCUGUUCCAAAGUUUAAAUGAAUUAUAACACACUCAUUGUUUAUGAAUUUCAAACAUGUAAACCAUUAAUAUUUCUGUAUUAAAGGUUGGAUAUGGUUUCAAAACAUGCUUGUCAGAUCACCCAGAACACACAGAUCUAUUAUUUAAAUAUGAGCCUGAUUCUGUAAGUAGAAGUUGUAAUGAUGGUAAAAUGGGAACAAUGUAGCUAAAAAGAAGGGGGGGGAUAUAAAAAUUGUGGAUUCUUCAACUCUGUUAUAUUACAGGUGUCAUAUUCAAAACAAUGCCAGACAAAAAUUGUUGGAAAAUUUCUCUUAAUUUAUCAUUCAACAGCAAUCGAAAAUUUGUCAUUGAGAGAACUAUUGGAGAAGAAUUGAUCAUACUUGAUUAGUCCUUACUUACCAAUGCACAUUAAUACUGUGCACAAUAGCUCACACUUUUACGUAACACCAGAGCAGCGGCGUAAUACACAUACAUAUGUAUACAUGUAAAGCAAGCUAUAAAGGACCCCAAAAUGACUAGUGUAAAACCAUUCAAACAGGAAAACCGACGGUAAAAAAACGAGAAGCAAGAAAAACUUGGGACCACAUCAACAAACAACAAACAACAACCCCUAUACUAUAGAUGCCUGACUUAGAUAAGGUGCAUAAAAAAGCAGCGAGUCUAAUCAUUUUAACAGGCGACAAUCUGCUCCUUAAUCUGAGACAGUAGUGUAACAUUACAACAUAAAAAUACACACUAAAAUAUCAAUUGAAAUGGCUUUGCUUUUACAAAAAGACAUUUAUACAAAAAUACAAGUAAACAUACACUGAAUGAAUAAGUUUGAUCUAUGACACAAUAUAAAUACAAUAUUAAAACAAAGGUGUUUAUAUAACAUAGACGCUGGAUGUAGUAAUAAAAAAGAUGUAGGAAGAGUGUCAGUUAGACAACGUUUAUCUAGGAUAAAAUGGCGUUAAAUCAAACAACGUACACAGGUACAUUUAAAUAUAAUAAUUCUAUAUUUGUUUCAGAGAAUGUUUGGAGUUAGAUUUACAGUACACCGAAAGAGACACUGCUACGCUUAUAACAUGACGGAGUCGGAGCAUUCAUUGAUACAUACCCCCGGAGGCUUGAUAUCAGUAGAGGUAUAAUUUAUUGGUAUAAAUCCAUAAACAAGAAUAUUAUAAGGUAAAUUUACAGUGGAAAACUAAAAAAAAAAAACAAACCUUGAGUAUGAUUCGUUUUACGACGAUUUGUAUUACACUUUCAGACAGAUGUUAGGUGACCUUAGUAUGCAAAUAUUGUUUCAAAUCUAAAUAUCAGUCUAAUACCAUUACAUAUAUGUUGAUCAAGUUGAUCAGUUUAAAUGUAAUCAAUUGUUAUUAUAUAAAAAAAUCAGUCUUUAUAAAUAUUUUACAUGAAAAUUAUAUAUACUGUCUGGGUCUGGUAUUCCUAUCUUCAGUUUUUUAUGAAUAUUGCAACUGAAACUUAAACUAGGGCUUUACCAUGAAAUGUUGACCAUAGACAAGUUGAUCUGUUCUUGUCUGUCCAUUUAGUUUUGUUACACGCACACUCCAAACCUAACAGUCUUCAGAGUACCGGAUUGUUCUCUCAUAAAAGUUUGCAUAAAGUUUUUGCGUAAUGUGUAGCCUUCUUUUUGAAUUGUCUUGUUUGACUAUUUCAUAUAGUCGUCAUUGGUUAACAUUGAAGCCGAUGACCACUAUUGAGUAAUAAGCAGCAGGAUGUGUUGACCUUGCGGAUAGGUAUCGAUUACGUAACCAUAUUUAACUGGAUGUUAUAUAGCGAAACCAAGCGUUCUUACUAGUAUACAAUAAGGUAUAAUUGAAGCAAACGUUCUGCCUGUAAUGACAUUAAGGAUAACGGAGAUUUGAAGAACAUAAAGAACGAUAAUUAAAUGAAUAUUUCGACUCUUGAUCAUCAGGUAUACUGGUUUCCCUGUUUCCGGUAAGUCCCUCGUUCCGGUGUACUAAUCAUAUUUUCGUUGGUCGUAGAGGGAAAGGUAAAUUAACAAAUAAAACAAACUCCAAGGAAAACUCGGAAAAGUCCUUUUAUCAAAUGACAAAAUCAAAAGCUCAGAAACACCAAAGUUCUCUAAACUGGUUAAAAACAGCAAUGUACAUUCUUACUGAUAAUAAUAAAGAUAAACUCCUAAAUACGAAAUUAGAAAGCUAUCUGCGAUCAACUAUGAAAAUCAAAAUGGAAACUACUUAUGUUAGUGCCAACAUACUGAUUGAUUUGUUGUCAUUUUGGAGCUAAAAGUAGAUAUUAUGACACUCGUGUUUAUUAUUUCACAUAGAAUGCUAUAUUAAAAAAAUGUAACACGAGUCAUCCAUCUUACAUUUGAUCGGUGACAUUCCGUACGAGGUACUUGAUAUAAAAUCCGGAUUUAUUUUCUCUCAAUCGAUUUAUCACUUUCAAACAGCCGUAUACUAGUGUUGCUUUUAUAUAAAUGACUAAUAUGACAAGCCGAUUGGUAAAACUACACAUUGGUGCCUAUGGUUAAUUUUUUACCUCAGAAAUGAAGAACCAAAUGAAUCUGUAGUUUAAAGAAACUCAGAUAACCUUGAUAGAUGCUUCUCCAGUGUUGCACAUUGUUAUUGGAUUCAAACAAUGACCGACCUCGCCACUAGUUUGGGGCAUAGUUUUAUACUGACACCUAAGGAUAUUCAACCAUCGGAUGUUCCUAAAAAUCAAACCUAGAACGAUAAAGGUUUAGUAACAUAAACAGUGUUGUUCUGGACUACAAAAUCGAUUGAACCCUGUAUUACAGAGAGGGUUUAUACAAUAAUAUCAACAUGCUGCUGAUAAGAACCACAUUUAACGCAAAAGAGAUUGUAUUUUCGAAAACAAGAAUAUAUACCUUGUGAUGUUCCGAUUGAGUAUUGUGCAUUUAAAAACAAUAUGGAAAUACCGUUAACCUCAUACAUUGCAUUAUAUAGAUGCAAGUCAAAUUAAAAAAAAAUCAUUCCAAUCAUGUGAAAGCAGAUUUUAUGAUUUUUAAUUUUUCGUUUCAGAGCUUUACUCCAUUUUGAUAUUUGUAUAUAGUAUAAUAUAUAUUUUUGUUUUUUUAAAUUGAUAUACAUAAAAAUGAAACCAACACUUUAUAAAUCGCACGCGUAUGAAACGCUUUUCCGGAUUUACCUUCACCAGGAACGGAAAAGGUCAAAUUAUUGAAAGCCUAAUAUUUCUUUAAAUUAAGCUUUAUGAUAGAUGUUAUCAACUUUUAUAAAAUGUACCAUCUACUUUUAAUAAGGCUAUUAGUAAAUUUACACACUUUUAUUCCAUAGACUUAUCACUAGUAUUAAUACUAUAAUUUUAUUUUGUAGUCGACGGUUCUAGCAUUGGUAUCAAAUGCUACACAUCUUGCUCAUAUCACUCACAGGGAAUCGAUUAACCAAAUCAGUCGUAACUUCGCCAAUUUUUGUGGGAAUACCAUGGUAUAUCUUUUGAACUGAAUCUUGUAUAAUAAAGAAACAUCAGUAUGUAA
rnacentral:lncRNA from 1 species